GCGGGGGUGCCGGAGUGGUCAAACGGGCUAGCUUCAGGGGUUAGUAGCUUAGUGCUUACGCAGGUUCGAACCCUGUCCUCCGCA
rnacentral:tRNA from 1 species